AUUUGGAGGGAGAAAAAAACAAAGAUGCAAUUAACGACUUUGUUAUAGUACGGGGAAAUUACAGGGGCAAACUCGUCCUGGAAAUGAACGGGAUAUAAGAGGUGAAGGGGUAAAAGGCAACAGAAAGAAUGGGAACCCCUCUUUGAAUUCUUCAACGCAAUGUCGCGCCGGAAAUCUAAAGGGGAAAUAGAAUAUACAAUGGCGAAACGCAGAAUCUCGAAUUCUGAAUCAGAAGAGAGUGAAAGUGAAGAGAAGCUAAGCGAAGAAGAAGAAGAAGAAGAAGAAGAAGUAAAGCCCAAGCGAAAACAGCAGGAUAUAUCAGAAUACGAGAAGCAGAGGCUAUCGAGAAUUGCAGAGAACAGAGCCAGAAUGGAGGCUCUGGGUCUGUCCAAAAUGGCUUCUUUUUUGAUGGGUUCGUCGCGGAAUUCGAGUAAGCUUAAAGGAAAGCGCAAGGUCGUUGAGGAUGAUGAAGAUUACAGGCCCAAUGAUGAGGAAGACCAUGACGACGAUGAUAAUGAUGAUAAACUUGAUGAUGAUUAUGAUGAUGAGGAGGACUUUCGGAGUAAGAAAACGCCUCAGUCUCGUAAAAACAAGGUGAAGAAUAAAGGCUCAAAACCUAAGAGGAAAGCUCCUGUUCUAAAACAUUUGAGUAGUUCAGAUUGUGUUGAUGAUGAUGAUGAAUUGAUGAAGGCAAUUGCUCUGUCUCUGCAAGAUUCUGGUGAAGUUUCAGGUGCUGUACAAGCAGAUGUGCAAGAUGCUACUUUCACUGGAAGAAAGGGGAAUGCUCGAUUAAAGAAGAAAAAAUCGUUCACCAGUCGGGUGCAGAUGACUGAGGAUGAAAUGGUUGUGCACUUCUUUCAGUUUGAUGCAUUGUUGGCUACCAGAAGCUGGAAAAGGAGGCAUUUCUAUGAGAGAUUUACGAAGAGUAGCUAUUGCACAUGAUUUUAUUUGGACAGAUAAGGAGCUGUCUGAUAUGAUCCAUUGCUUUGAUGUCGACAGAGAUGGGAAGCUAAAUCUUGAUGAUUUCCGGAAGAUUGUCAGCAGAUGCAACAUGUUACAAACAUCUGAUAAUUCUUAAUGAAAUUGCAGUAUUCUUCUUUCUUUUAUUGUACAAGUUAUCAGAUAAAUGUGUUCAAGCUCAAAUCUAUAACAUUAUUCUAGUUAUAAUCUGAGCAAAGAAACAGCAUGAUCACCGCA